UGAACUUAAAUUUUCUGUAGGCAACAUGAUUCUGAGCAUAGCAACAUGAUUGUAAGGCUAUUGUAUUCCUAAAUUACUAAUAUCUCCCAAAAUAUUGGUCCUAUCAACUUGCCAUUUUUGCUAG